rnacentral:rRNA from 1 species
GGACGUGCUAAUCUGCGAUAAGCGUCGGUAAGGUGAUAUGAACCGUUAUAACCGGCGAUUUCCGAAUGGGGAAACCCAGUGUGUUUCGACACACUAUCAUUAACUGAAUCCAUAGGUUAAUGAGGCGAACCGGGGGAACUGAAACAUCUAAGUACCCCGAGGAAAAGAAAUCAACCGAGAUUCCCCCAGUAGCGGCGAGCGAACGGGGAGGAGCCCAGAGCCUGAAUCAGUGUGUGUGUUAGUGGAAGCGUCUGGAAAGGCGCGCGAUACAGGGUGACAGCCCCGUACACAAAAAUGCACAUACUGUGAGCUCGAUGAGUAGGGCGGGACACGUGGUAUCCUGUCUGAAUAUGGGGGGACCAUCCUCCAAGGCUAAAUACUCCUGACUGACCGAUAGUGAACCAGUACCGUGAGGGAAAGGCGAAAAGAACCCCGGCGAGGGGAGUGAAAAAGAACCUGAAACCGUGUACGUACAAGCAGUGGGAGCACAGAGCAAUCUGUGUGACUGCGUACCUUUUGUAUAAUGGGUCAGCGACUUAUAUUCUGUAGCAAGGUUAACCGAAUAGGGGAGCCGAAGGGAAACCGAGUCUUAACUGGGCGUUAAGUUGCAGGGUAUAGACCCGAAACCCGGUGAUCUAGCCAUGGGCAGGUUGAAGGUUGGGUAACACUAACUGGAGGACCGAACCGACUAAUGUUGAAAAAUUAGCGGAUGACUUGUGGCUGGGGGUGAAAGGCCAAUCAAACCGGGAGAUAGCUGGUUCUCCCCGAAAGCUAUUUAGGUAGCGCCUCGUGAAUUCAUCUCCGGGGGUAGAGCACUGUUUCGGCAAGGGGGUCAUCCCGACUUACCAACCCGAUGCAAACUGCGAAUACCGGAGAAUGUUAUCACGGGAGACACACGGCGGGUGCUAACGUCCGUCGUGAAGAGGGAAACAACCCAGACCGCCAGCUAAGGUCCCAAAGUCAUGGUUAAGUGGGAAACGAUGUGGGAAGGCCCAGACAGCCAGGAUGUUGGCUUAGAAGUAGCCAUCAUUUAAAGAAAGCGUAAUAGCUCACUGGUCGAGUCGGCCUGCGCGGAAGAUGUAACGGGGCUAAACCAUGCACCGAAGCUGCGGCAGCGACACUGUGUGUUGUUGGGUAGGGGAGCGUUCUGUAAGCCUGUGAAGGUGUGCUGUGAGGCAUGCUGGAGGUAUCAGAAGUGCGAAUGCUGACAUAAGUAACGAUAAAGCGGGUGAAAAGCCCGCUCGCCGGAAGACCAAGGGUUCCUGUCCAACGUUAAUCGGGGCAGGGUGAGUCGACCCCUAAGGCGAGGCCGAAAGGCGUAGUCGAUGGGAAACAGGUUAAUAUUCCUGUACUUGGUGUUACUGCGAAGGGGGGACGGAGAAGGCUAUGUUGGCCGGGCGACGGUUGUCCCGGUUUAAGCGUGUAGGCUGGUUUUCCAGGCAAAUCCGGAAAAUCAAGGCUGAGGCGUGAUGACGAGGCACUACGGUGCUGAAGCAACAAAUGCCCUGCUUCCAGGAAAAGCCUCUAAGCAUCAGGUAACAUCAAAUCGUACCCCAAACCGACACAGGUGGUCAGGUAGAGAAUACCAAGGCGCUUGAGAGAACUCGGGUGAAGGAACUAGGCAAAAUGGUGCCGUAACUUCGGGAGAAGGCACGCUGAUAUGUAGGUGAAGUCCCUCGCGGAUGGAGCUGAAAUCAGUCGAAGAUACCAGCUGGCUGCAACUGUUUAUUAAAAACACAGCACUGUGCAAACACGAAAGUGGACGUAUACGGUGUGACGCCUGCCCGGUGCCGGAAGGUUAAUUGAUGGGGUCAGCGCAAGCGAAGCUCUUGAUCGAAGCCCCGGUAAACGGCGGCCGUAACUAUAACGGUCCUAAGGUAGCGAAAUUCCUUGUCGGGUAAGUUCCGACCUGCACGAAUGGCGUAAUGAUGGCCAGGCUGUCUCCACCCGAGACUCAGUGAAAUUGAACUCGCUGUGAAGAUGCAGUGUACCCGCGGCAAGACGGAAAGACCCCGUGAACCUUUACUAUAGCUUGACACUGAACAUUGAGCCUUGAUGUGUAGGAUAGGUGGGAGGCUUUGAAGUGUGGACGCCAGUCUGCAUGGAGCCGACCUUGAAAUACCACCCUUUAAUGUUUGAUGUUCUAACGUGGACCCGUGAUCCGGGUUGCGGACAGUGUCUGGUGGGUAGUUUGACUGGGGCGGUCUCCUCCUAAAGAGUAACGGAGGAGCACGAAGGUUGGCUAAUCCUGGUCGGACAUCAGGAGGUUAGUGCAAUGGCAUAAGCCAGCUUGACUGCGAGCGUGACGGCGCGAGCAGGUGCGAAAGCAGGUCAUAGUGAUCCGGUGGUUCUGAAUGGAAGGGCCAUCGCUCAACGGAUAAAAGGUACUCCGGGGAUAACAGGCUGAUACCGCCCAAGAGUUCAUAUCGACGGCGGUGUUUGGCACCUCGAUGUCGGCUCAUCACAUCCUGGGGCUGAAGUAGGUCCCAAGGGUAUGGCUGUUCGCCAUUUAAAGUGGUACGCGAGCUGGGUUUAGAACGUCGUGAGACAGUUCGGUCCCUAUCUGCCGUGGGCGCUGGAGAACUGAGGGGGGCUGCUCCUAGUACGAGAGGACCGGAGUGGACGCAUCACUGGUGUUCGGGUUGUCAUGCCAAUGGCACUGCCCGGUAGCUAAAUGCGGAAGAGAUAAGUGCUGAAAGCAUCUAAGCACGAAACUUGCCCCGAGAUGAGUUCUCCCUGACCCUUUAAGGGUCCUGAAGGAACGUUGAAGACGACGACGUUGAUAGGCCGGGUGUGUAAGCGCAGCGAUGCGUUGAGCUAACCGGUACUAAUGAACCGUGAGGCUUAACCUU